rnacentral:rRNA from 1 species
CCUACGGGGAGCAGCAGUGGGGAAUAUUGCGCAAUGGGCGAAAGCCUGACGCAGCGACGCCGCGUGAGGGAUGAAGGUCUUCGGUACGUAAAGCUCUAUCAGCAGGGAAGAAAAUGACGGUACCUGACUAAGAAGCCCCGGCUAACUACGUGCCAGCAGCCGCGGUAAUACGUAGGGGGCAAGCGUUAUCCGGAUUUACUGGGUGUAAAGGGAGCGUAGACGGCAGCGCAAGUCUGGAGUGAAAUCCCAUGGCUUAACCAUGGAACUGCUUUGGAAACUGUGCAGCUAGAGUGCAGGAGAGGUAAGCGGAAUUCCUAGUGUAGCGGUGAAAUGCGAAGAUAUUAGGAGGAACACCAGUGGCGAAGGCGGCUUACUGGACUGUAACUGACGUUGAGGCUCGAAAGCGUGGGGAGCAAACAGGAUUAGAUACCCGAGUAGUC